UUGAACGCUGGCGGCAGGCUUAACACAUGCAAGUCGAGCGGAGAGAAGUAGCUUGCUACUGAUUUUAGCGGCGGACGGGUGAGUAAUACUUAGGAAUCUGGCUAUUAGUGGGGGACAACAUUUCGAAAGGGAUGCUAAUACCGCAUACGUCCUACGGGAGAAAGCAGGGGAUCAGUAAUGACCUUGCGCUAAUAGAUGAGCCUAAGUCGGAUUAGCUAGUUGGUGGGGUAAAGGCCUACCAAGGCGACGAUCUGUAGCGGGUCUGAGAGGAUGAUCCGCCACACUGGGACUGAGACACGGCCCAGACUCCUACGGGAGGCAGCAGUGGGGAAUAUUGGACAAUGGGGGGAACCCUGAUCCAGCCAUGCCGCGUGUGUGAAGAAGGCCUUAUGGUUGUAAAGCACUUUAAGCGAGGAGGAGGGUACUGGUAUUAAUACUACCAGCUACUGGACGUUACUCGCAGAAUAAGCACCGGCUAACUCUGUGCCAGCAGCCGCGGUAAUACAGAGGGUGCGAGCGUUAAUCGGAUUUACUGGGCGUAAAGCGUGCGUAGGCGGCUAAUUGAGUCGGAUGUGAAAUCCCCGAGCUUAACUUGGGAAUUGCAUUCGAUACUGGUUAGCUAGAGUGUGGGAGAGGAUGGUAGAAUUCCAGGUGUAGCGGUGAAAUGCGUAGAGAUCUGGAGGAAUACCGAUGGCGAAGGCAGCCAUCUGGCCUAACACUGACGCUGAGGUACGAAAGCAUGGGGAGCAAACAGGAUUAGAUACCCUGGUAGUCCAUGCCGUAAACGAUGUCUACUAGCCGUUGGUCUCU
rnacentral:rRNA from 1 species